AUAUCUCAAGUUGGAUUUAAAGACAGAUCCAGGAAAACGUGCACGCUUGGAAUGCUAUUUGGCGAUGAGGGGAGGCUUUAGCUUAAAGCUCGUGGUCAAGAGUAUACUGUCUGUGCUUUUUUCAACACAAUUAGCCCGGUGUUACAACUAUAACGGCCUGAAGGGAAAGAGGGUCUGAAAAACCACCCCUUUAUUUUAAGAACAGUUCAGGAUGCUGCAAGAAAAAGUUAUCCUGAUGCUACGGAAGUGGAACUGCAAGUUCAGAUUUCGAGCUGGCUGACUGGGGCGAGAGAUCGCGAAAAUGGGAGAAAAGAAAGACUUUUAAAGCCUAUAAAUAAUUCUGGGGUUGAGGGUGAAUUACAGGAGAAUUAAAGCUGUAAAAAUUUCAACCGAUAUUUGUCUGGAAAACUCUGACAUAAACCUGUACAGGUCAAUGCUUUAAGAAUUUGUGUAAAUAAUCAUUUUUUUAAUUAACAAUUAAA